rnacentral:lncRNA from 1 species
GAGAGGUAAAACUAGAAAAAUCAGGAGAAUCAGUAUCAAUAAAUGGCGCAACCAAAAAAGGAACAAGAACGCAAGGACUAUUAGUAAGCAAGGGAUGAUUUUCUUUAGGGUUAGGAAACUGAAUUCGGUUGACCAAAGCAAAUGUUAGCGCUUUUAACCAAGUUGUGCCUGAUUUAGGAGUAGUAAUAAGGAAGAUAUCGCUUUCUUGAGCUUGAAAAUGGUUUUGACAAGUUACAACACCUUUUAGUAGCCUAGUUGAAUGCCAAAACCCUUGGUAUUGAUGGAGAUGAUUUGCGACCCAACCCUUUUCAGUUGGUAGGGAGACUAUGAAGUCUCUAAAAUCUUGAGAAAAUUCUUUUUAUUGCAAGUAAGCAGCAAGAGAUUCAAGUGUUUGCAUGGUUGUAGUAAAUUAUGGUCUAUAGUUAUUAUUUUCUUUGUGUUGUUCUUGGUUUGGUUAUGUAUGUAUAUACACAGCGGUUCCCAUUUGCAAUAUAUAUAAAAAUUACUAUAAUAUAUAAUAGUAAAUUACAAUUUAGUCUUUAAGGUUUGAUUAUAUCACAACUUCCAUCUCUCUUGUAAUGUUGCUUGAAUCGUAGAAAUAUUGACAAUAUUUUUUUAUCUAAAAAAUUAAAAUAUUAUACACACACAUAACCUAAGCGAUUUUAUGGAAUUAAAAAAAACCAACAAGCUCUGAACAAAUCUAGGUUAGGUUAAUAAUACAAAAUCAGACAAAUUUAUGUCUCUAUGAAUAUUUAAAAUUCAUGAAAAUUAUAUUCUAAAGUCCCAUUUCUGCAUUGUAUAUUGUAAUCCACUCUCAGCUACUUAUAGACACACUAGCAUCAUCAGGUGUAUAUAUAUAUAAUUUUCAAAUUAAAGUGCCACUAAUUGUUGAAUUAUUGCAUCCUCAAAAAAUAAAAAAUUGUUGAAUGAAGACAUAAUUGUACAUAAUAAUUAAUAAAGAUCCAAAGACGGUACAUUCGUAUUUAUAAUAAUUGACAAUGCAGCAGAAAAUGUAAACAAAUAUAAGCAAAACAACAAAUUCAUGGCUACUAAUACUACAAGAAAAAGAGGCAACAUUAUGCUUAUACUUGGAAAGAGAGUACCCUCAGUCAUAGUAAUAAGCCAGGGCAAUUUAUAUACAGAGUGAUAAUUAAAUAAUAUUAUAUUAUUAUUAUUAUUAUUAUUAUAAAUACCUUCUUUCCUUCGCAAGCAAUUUUUAUUACAUAUCAAUCUACAAGCAAAACAACCAUUGAUUAAUCUAAAUUCGUAUUUUAAAUGUUUUCCUUGUGUUGUUUUUGGUUUUGGUUAUGUGUUUAUAUACAGAGUGAUUCUCAUUUGCAAUAUAUAUAUAUAAAUUUCUCAAUAUAUAAAGGUAAGUAACUAUUUAGUCCCUCAAUUUCAAUCAUAUUAUAAUUUCAUCUCUCAUAUUUGGUAAAUAAAUAACCCUUUAAAAUUUUAGUUUCAUUAAACUAUUUAGUUUUUCUAUUUAAAAAAGUACUUAUUCAGAAGUUAAAUAUCUCGUACUACUUUUGAUUACUUGGUUAUUCAUUUUUAAUAUACUUUUACUAUUUAGUUUCUCACAUUUACUAUUGUAUUACAAUCUAGUCCUUCACUUAAUGGUACAAAUAGCACUUUUUGGAUGAAGAACUAUAAAUAGUUUAAUAGAACUAAACUAGGGAUGAAAUAAUAAUUACAAUCUUCUCUCUUUCAAUUUUAGUUAUCCUUUGUUACUUAUCAAUCCACUCUCAAUGAAUUAUAAUCAUUCAACUCAAUAAGAUGUUAACAUUGCUUAAAAUUUUUUAUUUUUAGUUUUUAAUUUCAUUAAAUGCUUCUCAAAAGUCAAAAUACAUAAAAUUUGAAAGUUUUGUAAAUUUUGGAAGAGCAAGAUGGACCAGGCCAGGCCCAAAUUAGGUGGGGCUUCUUGGGAUUUAGGCCUCGAUUGAGCCUUAGCUGUUACUUAAUGGUGAAAAUAACACUUUUGGAUGAAUAAUUAUAAAUAGUUUAAUAAAACUAACUUUAAGAUUAAUUAAUAUAUUUAUCAGGGACGUAAUAAUAAUUAUGACCAACUAUUAGUUAUUUAUUCUAUAAAUGUGAAAUUCCACCCCACUCAUUCUUAGGUAUCUAUCUCUAUUUUGUCAGGACAUCUUGCUGAUAGUGAGCCAAGCACCUAAGCUUUGCUAAUUAAUUAUUGUGGUCUUAUUUAGUAAUUUGAUAAUAUUUUUUAUCUAAAAAAUGAUUUUAUUCAUUAAAAAACAAGAUUUGUAUGCACACAUAUAAGCAAGAAUAAGUAAAAAUUUUUAAGUCAUGACCUAAGGGAUACUAUUAAAAUUAAAACGAACUGACUACAUCCAAAUAAAUCGAAUUAUGUUAGAUUUUUUUUUUUUUGAAUAUUAGGAGAGCAGAUUCGAACAUGAAUCUAUUGUCAGAUCAUAAAUACACUUACUCUUAAAUUAUAUCUUGAUGUACCGAAUUAAGUUAGAUCAGCAAUAUAAUAAAGCAAUAGUAAAAUAAGACAAAUUAUGUCUAUUAAUACUAAAAAUUCUAGAAAAUUAGAUACCUCUCUUCUUCUCUAUAUAUAUCUAUCUAUAGUAGCUUGAUAAAAAAAAUAUCUACCAAUUUCACUUAAAUUAAUCAACUUAUGUGCAGCUUGAUUUCCUUCACAAAAAAAAUACAAGAUAGUAUCUUAUCAUUUACUGUGUAGGAACUGACGAAUACUAUCAUUAUUGUCUUUUGUAACUUGAAAGUAAUUAGAAAGUUGAUUAGCAUAUUAAACACAUUAAAAUUAUACUUUUAAAAAAAUAAUUUACUUGGAAGUGCACUUCUCAUAAAGUAUUCUUCUUGGAAAAUAGAUUGUUUGAAACCAAACAAGGCCUUCGUUUUCACCACCCAACUUUCCUAAGCAUCUUAGUAUUCUGGAAAAUACUUAUUUAGACCGGAUUUAUAAUUACAUCUUAAAUCCUUUUUGUGUGAUUUAGCAUGUAAAUGGAAGAAUAUUUAAUUAUUUAUUCUAUCUUUUUUGUGUAUCAAAAACCUUUAAUGGAAAGUGAUAGUUGUUCCAGAAGUCGUACUAUACUGUUAUAUAAUGAGAUCAAAUUAAAAUUAAAAAUUUCACAAAUUGGUCAAUUAAUUUUAUAGUGCUUUUUUAAGUAUCUCGAAGAUUAAAAAUGUUGCUAUAUGAUUAUUAAUUAUUUUCAAGCAAUUUUUUUUUUUUUUACAUUGUUUGCUAUUUGAUGACUUUUAGUGAUUAAUCAAUUUAAUCAUUUUAUAAUAAUCACCAUGUUAAUUAGCCUUGCAAAAUUACAGAAACCCUAAUAUUGGCUUAUUAUCCACUAGCAAAUGAAUAAUUAAACUGGAAAGUUAACAAUGAUAAUUCAAUCAUUUAGAAAAUUUUAAUUAAAUAUUAUUUUCUUUUCAAAUGAAGAUAUUAUUGUACAUAAUAAUUAACAAAGAUCCAAAGAUGGUACAUUCGUAUUUAUAAUAAUUGACAAUGCAACAGAAAAUGUAAACAAAUAUAAGCAAAACAACAGAUUCAUGGUUACUAAUACUUCAAGAACAAGAGGCAACACUAUGCUUAUACUUAGAAAGAGAGUACCCUCAAUCAUAGUAAUAAACCAGGCAACUUUUCUUUAGUGAUGUGGUCCAAUUUUUCCAUCAUCUCAUUUGUCAGGUAAUUCUUGUAAUCUCCUAUCACACCCCGCCGGAAAAAGACGCUAUUUUCCUGGCCGGACGGUAAUUUUCCGAUUUUGUUCACCUCUAAAUUGCUCAAAUUAUCAAAACUACACAAAUUUAAGAUUUCAUCAAUUACUCCGCAAUUUUCUUCUUCUUUUGAAAAUGGACACUUUAAAAAUUCAGAUAAUUUCUUUAAAUGGAAUUUAGGAUCUUUCUUCAAAUCUUCAUAUUUCAAAAACAAAACCCUUUUAGGAUUUUCCAAACUUUGCUUCCAAUACCCCAAAACAUGAUCCCAAAAUGGCCCAUAAAAACUCAGACCUCUACAAAACUUAUCAAAAGCAUCUUCAAGUGAAUUUUCACCUUUGUCUUUAGGCCUUAACCUAUUUGUAAAAUGAUAAAAAGAAAUAAAAGUGUCUUUGGUGUUUCUACACAAGUAAACAAUCUUACAGCCCAAGUCUUCCACAGAUUUUGGAAGAGACGAAAGCGGCAAAUGGGUAGAAAACAAUCUUGGAGAGGUAAAACUAGAAAAAUCAGGAGAAUCAGUAUCAAUACAUACCAUGUCCAAGAAAGGAAGAAGAACAUGAGGAUUAUUAGUAAGCAAAGGGUGGUUUUCUUUAGGUUAAAUUAAAGAGCCACUAAUUGUUGAAUUAUUGCAUCCUCAAAAAAUAAAAAAUUGUUGAAUUAUUGCACCUUGUACAAUUAAUAAAUGUUCUGGGGAAAGCAUUUGUCUCCUUCCUGUCAAUAGAAAAAGGAAAAAGCAUCAAGAUUUUUUCCCAUUUUUUUAUGUCCCCAACCAGUUAUUAUUAUAAAUUUUCUUCCAUUGCUUGGAUUUCUCCUUUCCUAUAUCUAUAUUUAGACAUACAUAAUAAGUCGUGAUUUAGACUCUAUUUAUUUCUGAAAAAUUGCCAGACUUUAUUUGUUUCUGAAAAAUUGCUUAUAAAAUAUUUUCCAAUUAACUGAUUUUCUGCAAUUUAGUUGUAAUAUUUCCCUUAAAAAAAUUAAUUGUAAUACUGAAAAUUGUUAUAAAUAGAGAUUUUCAUAAUUCAAAUCUUAUUUGUUUCUUACAUUAUAAAAUAGAAAUAAUCAUAAUUUCAUAUGGGCAGCAGCGGAUGCCUUUGUGCUUGAAGGGGUUGUAUGGUUCAUCUAAAGUUUCAAGAAUUUUAAAUUUUUUUUUCAAGUAAAUUCAUAGAUUAUAUAUUAUUAAUUAUUUUCAUGUAAUUUUUUUUAUAUUAAUUGCUAUUUCAUCACUUUUAGUGAUUAAUAUGAGUGGCCAUAAAAUAAAGCAUUUUGUCUACAAACUUAUAAAAUCACUAGCAAACGACCAAGUAAACAAUUAGAAAAUUUUAAUGAAAUAUUAUUUUCUUUUCAAAUGAAGACAUUAUUGUACAUAAUAAUUAACAAAGAUCCAAAGAUGGUACAUUCGUAUUUAUAAUAAUUGACAAUGCAACAGAAAAUGUGAACAAAUAUAAGCAAAACAACAGAUUCAUGGCUACUAAUACUACAAGAAAAAGAGGCAACAUUAUGCUUAUACUUGGAAAGAGAGUACCCUCAAUCAUAGUAAUAAAGCAGGCAACUUUUCUUUUGUGAGGUGGUCCAAUUUUUCCAACAUCUCUUUUGUAAGGAAAUUCUUGUAAUCUCCUAUCUCACCCCGCCGGAAAAAGGCACAAUUUUCCUCACCAGACGGUAACUUUCCGGUUUUAUUCACCUCUAAAUUGCUCAAAUUAUCAAAACUACACAAGUUUAAAAUUUGAUCGAUUACUGUAUGAUUUUCUUCUUCUUCUGAAAAUGGACACUCUAAAAAUUCAGAUAAUUUCUUCAAAUGCAAUUUAGGCUCUUCUUUGAAAUCUUCAUAUUUCAAAAACAAAACUCUUUUAGGGUUUUCCAAACUUUGCUUCCAAUACCCUAAAACAUGAUCCCAAAAUGGCCCAUACAAACUCACACCUCUACAAAACUUAUCAAAAACUUCUUCGAGUGAAUUUUCACCUUUUUCUUUAUGCCUUAACCUAUUUGUAAAAUGAUAAAGAGAAACAAAAGUGUCUUUAGGGUUUCUACACAAGUAAACAAUCUUACAGCCCAAGUCCUCCACAGAUUUUGGAAGAGACACAAAUGGCAAAUGGGUAGAAAACAAUCUUGGAGAGGUAAAACUAGAAAAAUCAGGAGAAUCAGUAUCAAUAUAUGCCAUGUCCAAGAAAGGAACAAGAACGUGAGGAUUAUUAGUAAGCAAAGGGUGGUUUUCUUUAGGGUUAGGAAACCGAACGCGGUUCACCAGAGCAAAUGUUAGUGCUUUUAACCAAGUUGUGCCUGAUUUAGGAGUGGUAAUAAGGAAGAUAUCAUUUUCUUGAGCUUGAAAAUGGUUUUGAC